GAUGAACGCUGGCGGCGUGCUUAACACAUGCAAGUCGAACGGAAAGGCUCCUGCUUGCAGGGGUACUCGAGUGGCGAACGGGUGAGUAACACGUGGGUGAUCUGCCCUGCACUUCGGGAUAAGCCUGGGAAACUGGGUCUAAUACCGGAUAGGACGAUGGUUUGGAUGCCAUUGUGGAAAGUUUUUCGGUGUGGGAUGAGCUCGCGGCCUAUCAGCUUGUUGGUGGGGUAAUGGCCUACCAAGGCGUCGACGGGUAGCCGGCCUGAGAGGGUGUACGGCCACAGUGGGACUGAGAUACGGCCCAGACUCCUACGGGAGGCAGCAGUGGGGAAUAUUGCACAAUGGGCGCAAGCCUGAUGCAGCGACGCCGCGUGGGGGAUGACGGCCUUCGGGUUGUAAACUCCUUUCGCUAGGGACGAAGCGCAAGUGACGGUACCUGGAGAAGAAGCACCGGCUAACUACGUG
rnacentral:rRNA from 1 species